GCCGGCAGCUAGCUCUCUGCAACUCUCACAUGGUCGCCCACUGAAGCUAAGCAGGGCUGCGCCCGGUCAGUACCUGGAUGGGAGACCACAUGGGAAAGCUAGGUUGCUGCUGUAA
rnacentral:rRNA from 1 species